rnacentral:lncRNA from 1 species
AUGAGCAAGCCAGAAAUACUUUGAUUUUUCUCCCCCUCACUGAGGCAGGCGAAGCAUUCCUAAUCUGAAAAUCUAGAAUCCAAAAGGAUCUGAAAUGUGAAGCUUCUGAGAGUUGUGAUGUCGAAGUAGGCUGCACGCUGCGACAGGGAUCCAGAGAUGAACAUCUGCUUUUGGUGAGGGACGGAGCCCUGGUCCAGCAUCAAGUCAGCCAACCCACCUACCAGGGCAUCUGCCUGGGUCCUCACCAACAGACAUGGGUGCAGAACUGAAGCCAGGCAGCCACCGGGCCAGAUCCCCCACCCAGGUCUGAUAUCUGACUCUGGGCAACCCCAAUCUAAAGACAUUAAUAAAACUUUCUAAAAAAUG